UACAGAGGGUGCAAGCGUUAAUCGGAAUUACUGGGCGUAAAGCGUGCGUAGACGGUUAUGUAAGUCAGAUGUGAAAUCCCCGGGCUUAACCUGGGAAUGGCAUUUGUGACUGCACGGCUAGAGUGUGUCAGAGGGAGGUAGAAUUCCACGUGUAGCAGUGAAAUGCGUAGAUAUGUGGAGGAAUACCGAUGGCGAAGGCAGCCUCCUGGGAUAACACUGACGCUCAUGCACGAAAGCGUGGGGAGCAAACAGG
rnacentral:rRNA from 1 species